UCUCAGGUCUCCCUUAAUACAUCUCGUUGCAGCUGUCAUGUACGAGAAUGUAAACAUCGUAGUCAUGGCUUCUCACUACCCCUAGUGAUAGUCACUGUAAAAUUAUAACGGCUAACAUUUUGAGGUCCUAAUGAGUGGAAGAAUAGCAUGUAGCUUAAGGGCAGGACUUGCCAGGCGUGGUGGGUCACACCGUAAUCCCAGCACUUUGGGAGGCCGAGGUCAGGAGUUUGAGACCAGCCUGGCCAACAUGGUGAAACCCCGUCUCAGGAGUGGAUACUUUGGCAAGAUGGCGGGGAGCGGCAUCCGUCAAGCUGCCUCUACCGCCAGCACCUUUGUGAAGCCCAUUUUCAGUCGGGACAUGAACGAGGCCAAGCGGAGGGUGCGCGAGCUCUACCGCGCCUGGUGUCGGGAGGUGCCGAACACUGUACACCAAUUCCAGCUGGACAUCACUGUCAAAAUGGGACGGGAUAAAGUCCGAGAAAUGUUUAUGAAGACCCCAGGGUGGUUGAUCUUCUGGUCAUUAAGGGAAAGAUGGAACUGGAAGAAACAAUUAAAGUAUGGAAGCAGCGGACACAUGUUAUGCGGUUCUUCCAUGAAACAGAAGCGCCAAGGCCGAAGGAUUUCCUAUCCAAGUUCUAUGUUGGCCAUGACCCAUGAAGUCACUCAGUGGAAAGGUGCAUGUUGAUAUUAUUUUAGAGCACAAAUAAACUCACUAUACGAUGGUCAAAAAAAAAAAAA